GGGUUGUGAGGUUAAGCGACCAAGCGUACACGGUGGAUGCCCUGGCAGUCAGAGGCGAUGAAGGACGUGCUAAUCUGCGAAAAGCGCCGGUAAGGUGAUAUGAACCGUUAUAACCGGCGAUGUCCGAAUGGGGAAACCCAGUGUGACUCGUCACACUAUCAUUAACUGAAUCCAUAGGUUAAUGAGGCGAACCGGGGGAACUGAAACAUCUAAGUACCCCGAGGAAAAGAAAUCAACCGAGAUUCCCCCAGUAGCGGCGAGCGAACGGGGAGGAGCCCAGAGCCUGAAUCAGCAUGUGUGUUAGUGGAAGCGUCUGGAAAGGCGCGCGAUACAGGGUGACAGCCCCGUACACAAAAGCGCAUGUGCUGUGAGCUCGAUGAGUAGGGCGGGACACGUGGUAUCCUGUCUGAAUAUGGGGGGACCAUCCUCCAAGGCUAAAUACUCCUGACUGACCGAUAGUGAACCAGUACCGUGAGGGAAAGGCGAAAAGAACCCCGGCGAGGGGAGUGAAACAGAACCUGAAACCGUGUACGUACAAGCAGUGGGAGCAUG
rnacentral:rRNA from 1 species